UGGGGAAUAUUGCACAAUGGGCGCAAGCCUGAUGCAGCAACGCCGCGUGAGGGAUGACGGCCUUCGGGUUGUAAACCUCUUUUAGCAGGGAAGAAGCGAAAGUGACGGUACCUGCAGAAAAAAGCACCGGCUAACUACGUGCCAGCAGCCGCGGUAAUACGUAGGGUGCAAGCGUUGUCCGGAAUUAUUGGGCGUAAAGAGCUCGUAGGCGGUCUGUCGCGUCUGCUGUGAAAUCCCGAGGCUCAACCUCGGGCCUGCAGUGGGUACGGGCAGACUAGAGUGCGGUAGGGGAGAAUGGAACUCCUGGUGUAGCGGUGGAAUGCGCAGAUAUCAGGAAGAACACCGAUGGCGAAGGCAGUUCUCUGGGCCGUAACUGACGCUGAGGAGCGAAAGCGUGGGGAGCGAACAGGAUUAGAUACCCUGGUAGUCCACGCCGUAAACGUUGGGCGCUAGAUGUGGGGACCAUUCCACGGUUUCCGUGUCGCAGCUAACGCAUUAAGCGCCCCGCCUGGGGAGUACGGCCGCAAGGCUAAAACUU
rnacentral:rRNA from 1 species